UUCCCAUAAUGCUUAUCGAGACGGAUGUGCCUACGCCCAGUUACUGUUAUUGCAUUACAUCUUCACACCUCUAAAAAUGCACAGUUAUCCAGUACAAAGGAACAACAAAGAAAUUGUAAAACUAUUUGCUCUUGCGUCAGUGUAGCUCUGCCACAAGAUCGGCUGACCUAGAUGCAGUGGAGCACAUGGUCGGAUGAGCUGGACACAGUGGAGCUCGGUGACCAGCACGCAGGAGCUGGACUGCACAAUUUCUGUUCAUGAGCAAUAAAAGAAAUUACCCUUCCGACAAACAAUUUGGAAAAUGUACAACCUUAUCAGUUCAACAAGAUUUCAGGUGCUAAUCAAUCAGAUACACACAACAAACGAAACACACUUUUCCUUACUGUUGAGCAUUUUGUUACAAAUUCUUCAAUUGAAACGCUAAGCAAGGUUGACUUUUACUCAAUGUAAAUCCUAAACAAGAACUUAAUUUUUUCUUAUAACCAUCAGAAUAUCGAAGAACAAUUGGUUUAAGGAAUAUAUAUCCACAAAUUAAAACAGAAUCUAAGUUAAUGGGUUCAAAACAGGAGGUACACCCAAAAGUAAGUGUAAAUGGCCUUCACUUCAAAAACAGGAGGUACAUCCAAAAGUAAGUGUAAAUGGCUUUCAAACAAGUGCUUGCAAACACAAAUAUUCAUAAAAAAUCUUUUUUAGGAAAAAACAUAUUUAAUGUACUAAAUACGUGCAAUGGUGCAAGGGGAACUUACUUUUUUAUUUUCUUCUAAGGCCCUUAUUUUCUUCAAAUAAGAUUCGUUUGGAAAAAUUAUCAAUGUACUAUUUGGAAUAGUCAAUUUUAUAUAUGAACAAACAUCUGUGAGAAGGUCUGCAGAGGCUUCAAACAAAAUUGCUGGAUGUCUCAC
rnacentral:lncRNA from 1 species